GGGUAGGUACCUAAGUAGUCAAAAGGGGCUGACUGUAAAUCAGCUGGCGUUUGCCUUCGGGGGUGCAAGUCCCUCCCUACCCA
rnacentral:tRNA from 1 species